rnacentral:rRNA from 1 species
CCUACGGGCGGCAGCAGUAAGGAAUAUUGGUCAAUGGACGAAAGUCUGAACCAGCCAUGCCGCGUGGAGGAUGAAGGUCCUCUGGAUUGUAAACUUCUUUUAUAUGGGACGAAAAAAGGCUUUUCUAAGUCGUCUGACGGUACCAUAUGAAUAAGCACCGGCUAACUCCGUGCCAGCCGCCGCGGUAAUACGGAGGGUGCAAGCGUUAUCCGGUUUCACUGGGUUGAAGGUGUGUGGGUAAGGGUUGGUAGAAAUCCCCGAGCUUAACUUGGGAACUGCCAUUGAUACUAUCAGUCUUGAAUACCGUGGAGGUCAGCGGAAUAUGUCAUGUAGCGGUGAAAUGCUUAGAUAUGACAUAGAACACCAAUUGCGAAGGCAGCUGGCUACCCGAAUAUUGACACUGAGGCACGAAAGCGUGGGGAUCAAACAGGAUUAGAUACCCCAGUAGUC